rnacentral:misc_RNA from 1 species
UUGGUUUGAUACGGGUGGUCGGCUCCCUGCUUGAGCAGGCACGGCCACGCGUGCAUUCCUUUUCAGAUGUGCGGCAAGGCUACUAUGGUCUUGAUCGUAUAAGUGGGUUUCCUGUGUUGAAUACCUGAUCAACGGCAUCGUUUCGAUCAAAAGCGUACCUUUUUCGUCUAGUGUUGCACCCGCACCAUUGGAUGAACCGUGUAGCAUUCUCUUUGAUCCAUACAAUUGACAUUCAUUGUUAGUUGUUUGGCCCAUUGAGCGUGUCUUGGUCCCUUGAAUAUGGAAGCCAAAGUGGGCACGGGAUCGCAAGAUCCGUUUAGUGCCCUAAUUGAGCGUUUUCGCUUCUCUUACACGACUGCCUCUCACGUAUGGCACGUCCCAGCGUGUUUGGCUAUGUCGAAGAGGAAUGU